rnacentral:rRNA from 1 species
UGGUCAAGUUAUUAAGGGUGCAGGGCGGAUGCCUUGGCACUAGGAGCCGAUGAAGGACGUGAUAAGCUGCGAUAAGCUUCGGGGAGUUGCACGUAAACUUUGAUCCGAAGAUUUCCGAAUGAGGAAACUCACUUAGAGUAAUGUCUAAGUAUCAUUAAGUGAAUACAUAGCUUAUGAGGGGAACUCAGGGAACUGAAACAUCUAAGUACCUGAAGGAAGAGAAAGAAAUUCGAUUCCGUAAGUAGCGGCGAGCGAACGCGGAUUAGCCCAAACCAAUAAAGUUUUCUUUAUUGGGGUUGCGGACAUAUCAUAACGAAGAGGUAUCGUAAUUGAAGAGGUUUGGAAAGACCCACCACAGAAGGUAAUAGUCCUGUAUGUUAAACGAGAAGACUUCAGAUAUGAUCCAGAGUACCACGGGACACGUGAAACCCUGUGGGAAGCAGGAGGGACCACCCUCCAAGGCUAAAUACUACCUAGUGACCGAUAGCGUAUAGUACCGUGAGGGAAAGGUGGAAAAGAACCCCGGAGGGGAGUGAAAUAGAACCUGAAACCCUGCACUUACAAGCUGUGGAAGCACAUUUCUUGUGUGACCGCGUACUUUUUUGUAGAACGGGCCAACGAGUUACGUUAAGUAGCAAGGUUAAGCACUUAAGGUGCGGAGCCGUAGCGAAAGCGAGUUUUAACUGAGCGUUCAGUUACUUUGACGUAGACCCGAAACCGGGGCGACCUACCCAUGAGCAGGAUGAAGCGAAAGUAAAAUUUCGUGGAGGUCCGAACCCACGAGCGUUGAAAAGCUCGGGGAUGACUUGUGGGUAGCGGUGAAAUUCCAAUCGAGCCCGGAGAUAGCUGGUUCUCCCCGAAAUAGCUUUAGGGCUAGCCUCAAGGUGAGAGAUACGGAGGUAGAGCACUGAAUGUCCUAGGGGGUAUUGCACCUACCGAAGACUAUCAAACUCCGAAUGCCGUCAUCUUAUACUUGGGAGUCAGACUGUGGGUGAUAAGAUUCAUAGUCGAAAGGGCAACAGCCCAGAUCGUCAGCUAAGGUCCCUAAAUGUAAGUUAAGUGGUAAAGGAUGUGGGAUUGCACAGACAACCAGGAUGUUGGCUUAGAAGCAGCCACUCAUUCAAAGAGUGCGUAAUAGCUCACUGGUCGAGUGAUCCUGCGCCGAAGAUUUCCGGGGCUAAAACU